AACGAACGCUGGCGGCAUGCCUAACACAUGCAAGUCGAACGAGACCUUCGGGUCUAGUGGCGCACGGGUGCGUAACGCGUGGGAACCUGCCCUUAGGUUCGGAAUAACUCCCCGAAAGGGGUGCUAAUACCGGAUAAUGUCUUCGGACCAAAGAUUUAUCGCCUUUGGAUGGGCCCGCGUUGGAUUAGCUAGUUGGUAGGGUAAAAGCCUACCAAGGCGACGAUCCAUAGCUGGUCUGAGAGGAUGAUCAGCCACACUGGGACUGAGACACGGCCCAGACUCCUACGGGAGGCAGCAGUGGGGAAUAUUGGACAAUGGGCGAAAGCUUGAUCCAGCAAUGCCGCGUGAGUGAUGAAGGCCUUAGGGUCGUAAAGCUCUUUUACCCGGGAUGAUAAUGACAGUACCGGGAGAAUAAGCUCCGGCUAACUCCGUG
rnacentral:rRNA from 1 species